UGUGCUGGUGCUGGUCAACGCCACUCGCUGUGUAGCGAUCCCAAGCGACGGGUGUCUCUAGUACUAUAGUGUCUGUGGGGUCUCUCUUAUGCUUGUGCGUUUUUUGCGUGCGCGCGCACGCGAUUGGUCCUAGGUUUCCGUUGUGAGUGUUAAAGUAAGAUUUAUAUUGGUGCUGUGAAGCAGCGGUUGGUGGUGGCGUUUGUGCCUUGGACGGGCGAUUUCAAAUCAGAAAACAUAGACCUAUUUCCUCCAAGUUUCGGAACCUGCCGGAGUGUGCCGGUUGGACUGACAGGGUAUGGAGGGGACCCAGAAGGUGUGGGUGACCGAUCAGACCCAUGGCUUCAUCUUGGGCAACAUCACAGACCUCACCAGCGAAGGGGUGACGGUGCAGCCAGUGGCCAGAGGCAGCAAACCUGUUGCAGUCGACUAUGAGAGAGUUUAUCCUGCUGAAGAAGAUGACUCCAAGAUGUGGACGACAACUGUGCCCUUAUGUACCUCAAUGAAGCUACGCUUCUCAACAACGUUAAAUUACGAUAUAGCAGAGACAAAAUUUAUGUGAGUUGUCC